AUCCCCGCCUCUUACCCUUCCUUUGAUCCUGCUCUGAGACAGUCUCCUUGUUUCCUGUUACAUGUUUGCCUCUCUCUUAAAAACCAGACAGAGCAGCUCCUGCAAGCUCUGGACUUCACCCAGGGAGAGUCUCCCUGUGGGCAUUGGCUGCAGCUUGGGCUGGUACGGUGGAGUCCACCAGAGACAGAGCGCCAACACGGGAGAGACAGGCGCAGGCCUGCAAAGGUUGGUUUCUGGUGGGGUGGAGUAAGGUCACCUCGCGUCUCCUCCUCGUCAUUCUGACACAGCUGCCCAGAUCUCUUCUGUGCACAUUCUAGAACUUCCCUCAGGAUUGUUCUGGACAAGCCAGACACCACGUGUCCAUGUUUUAUCUUCAAGAUAUGUGUUAGGCAGAGGACUCUAAUGAGCUGCUGAGUUACCUUCCUGAGCAGGAGGUGUUUGGGGCACUUGGAGCCAUGUAAAGGAAACAAAGAGAUGUCCAUGCAACCAGAGGGGAAGCAUUCCUCCAAGUGUGUCCUCACUCAGAUGGAUGCACAGCUGAGCCUCACAUGUGUCGGCAGCUAAUUUCUGCUCCAGACUACUCUGCCACUCCCGUGGGGACUUGGGGAAACAAAACUCAUAUAGGAUUCCAGGCUCCCAGUUUUUGAUAUUCUGACUCCUGAGCAGCCCAACCUCCCAAUGAAUUAUAAUUUGGCCCAUGGGAAAGAAAGCAGAAGGUCAGGUUGGGCGGUGGACUAGAAGAUGGAUGAGUGUUGGUCACUUUCACCACCAACCUGAUGUAUCUCCUAGGAGACAAGUCUCUGGGUACUUCUGUGAGAGUAUAUAAUAAACUGGGAGUCUGGGUCUCUUGUGGGAAGGAGUGAGUUUAACCAAGGAGGGAAGAUUCAUUCUGAAAGCGGUAGCACCACUCCCUGGGCUACCUGGUCACUGGCCAAGAACUUGCACUGCUUCGGACUGCCGUUUCUCUUGGGACUGGUCCUUUCUGCUUGAGGGUGACCUGGUGACUCUGCACAUGAGGAUGCUGAGGUGGCACCUCAUUAAAUCUUGAGACAUGAAGCACGGAUUCAAAGGACUUCUCAAUACUUUUUCCACUAACCUUUUAUGCCUGAGAAAUUUUUACAUGACCUUGAGCAUAUGAGUAUAUAAAAUACAUGAACAAAGUAUUUACUGAUAAAUCAUAUAGAAUGUAGUUUUUAAAUAACAUUUUAAAAGUAAAAGCAAAUUUUCAUGC
rnacentral:lncRNA from 1 species